GACGAACGCUGGCGGCGUGCUUAACACAUGCAAGUCGAACGGAAAGGCCCUGCUUUUGUGGGGUGCUCGAGUGGCGAACGGGUGAGUAACACGUGAGUAACCUGCCCUUGACUUUGGGAUAACUUCAGGAAACUGGGGCUAAUACCGGAUAGGAGCUCCUGCUGCAUGGGGGGGGUUGGAAAGUUUCGGCGGUUGGGGAUGGACUCGCGGCUUAUCAGCUUGUUGGUGGGGUAGUGGCUUACCAAGGCUUUGACGGGUAGCCGGCCUGAGAGGGUGACCGGCCACAUUGGGACUGCGAUACGGCCCAGACGCCUACGGGAGGCAGAAGUGGGGAAUAUUGCACAAUAGGCGGAAGCCUGAUGCAGCAACGCCGCGUGCGGGAUGACGGCCUUCGGGUUGUAAACCGCUUUCGCCUGUGACGAAGCGUGAGUGACGGUAAUGGGUAAAGAAGCACCGGCUAACUACGUG
rnacentral:rRNA from 1 species